UACGCAGGGUGCGAGCGUUGUCCGGAAUUAUUGGGCGUAAAGAGCUCGUAGGCGGCUUGUCGCGUCGGAUGUGAAAGCCCGGGGCUUAACUCCGGGUCUGCAUUCGAUACGGGCAGGCUAGAGUUCGGUAGGGGAGAUCGGAAUUCCUGGUGUAGCGGUGAAAUGCGCAGAUAUCAGGAGGAACACCGGUGGCGAAGGCGGAUCUCUGGGCCGAUACUGACGCUGAGGAGCGAAAGCGUGGGGAGCGAACAGG
rnacentral:rRNA from 1 species